rnacentral:rRNA from 1 species
CCGCCAUCAGCCCAGCUUGUGAAUCAUCACUUGUGAUGAAUUGUGGUAUGCAGGCCUUUUUAAGUAGCUGGCUGACUAAGUCCCCUGGAAUGGGGUAGCUGAGAGGGUGAGACUCCCGUUUGUCAGCUAGCGUAAGAAGUUGCCAACGAGUCGAGUUGUUUGGGAUUGCAGCUCUAAGUGGGUGGUAACUUCCAUCCAAGGCUAAAUAUUGGUGAGAGACCGAUAGCGUACAAGUACCGUGAGGGAAAGAUGCAAAGCCGCGCGAAAGCGCUGUCAAAGAGUACCUAAAAUUGCUGAAAAGGAAGCGAAGGAAACUAGUGUAAGCCGCUCCGCAUUUCCUCGUCCGCUUGCGGGCGGGGCGCU